GACGAACCGUGCGAACGUUAUUCGGAAUCACUGGGCUUAAAGCGCGUGUAGGCGGGCCGGCACGUCCGUGGCUGAAAGCCCCCCGGCUCAACCGGGGGAAGUGGCGCGGAUACGACCGGCCUGGAGGGGGGGUAGGGGGGACCUGGAACUUCCGGUGGGAGCGGUGAAAUGCGUUGAGAUCGGAAGGGAACGCCCGUGGCGAAAGCGAGGUCCUGGACCCUUUCUGACGCUGAGACGCGAAAGCCAGGGGAGCGAACGGG
rnacentral:rRNA from 1 species